UACGUAGGGCGCAAGCGUUAUCCGGAAUUAUUGGGCGUAAAGAGCUCGUAGGCGGUUUGUCGCGUCUGCCGUGAAAGUCCGGGGCUCAACUCCGGAUCUGCGGUGGGUACGGGCAGACUAGAGGUAGGUAGGGGAGAAUGGAAUUCCCGGUGUAGCGGUGAAAUGCGCAGAUAUCGGGAGGAACACCGGUGGCGAAGGCGGUAGUCUGGGCCGGUACUGACGCUGAGGAGCGAAAGCGUGGGGAGCGAACAGG
rnacentral:rRNA from 1 species